rnacentral:rRNA from 1 species
ACGGGUGAGUAACACGUGACUAACCUACCCUGGAGUGGGGGAUAACUGAGGGAAACCUUAGCUAAUACCGCAUAAUACCUACGGGUCAAAGGAGCAAUUCGCUUUGGGAGGGGGUCGCGGCCGAUUAGUUAGUUGGCGGGGUAAUGGCCCACCAAGACAGUGAUCGGUAUCCGGCCUGAGAGGGCGCACGGACACACUGGAACUGAAACACGGUCCAGACUCCUACGGGAGGCAGCAGUGGGGAAUUUUGCGCAAUGGGGGAAACCCUGACGCAGCAACGCCGCGUGGAGGAUGAAGUCCCUUGGGAUGUAAACUCCUUUCGAUCGGGACGAUUAUGACGGUACCGGAAGAAGAAGCACCGGCUAACUCUGUGCCAGCAGCCGCGG